rnacentral:rRNA from 1 species
GUUUUUUCGGUUGGGGAUGGGCUCGCGGCCUAUCAGUUUGUUGGUGAGGUAAUGGCUCACCAAGACGACGACGGGUAGCCGGCCUGAGAGGGCGACCGGCCACACUGGGACUGAGACACGGCCCAGACUCCUACGGGAGGCAGCAGUGGGGAAUAUUGCACAAUGGGGGAAACCCUGAUGCAGCGACGCAGCGUGCGGGAUGACGGCCUUCGGGUUGUAAACCGCUUUCAGCAGGGAAGAANCCUCACGGUGACGGUACCUGCAGAAGAAGUACCGGCUAACUACG